CAGUCGCCGCGGUAAGACGGAGGAUGCAAGCGUUAUCCGGAAUGAUUGGGCGUAAAGCGUCUGUAGGUGGGUUGUAAAGUCUUCUGUUAAAGAUUGGGGCUUAACCCAGUUUAAGCAGUGGAAACUUAUAACCUAGAGUACGGUAGGGGCAGAGGGAAUUCCCGGUGUAGCGGUGAAAUGCGUAGAUAUCGGGAAGAACACCGACGGCGAAAGCACUCUGCUGGGCCGAAACUGACACUGAGAGACGAAAGCUAGGGGAGCAAAAAGGAUUAGAUACCCCCGUAGUCCCUGUCUCUUAUAC
rnacentral:rRNA from 1 species